GGGCCAGUAGUGUAUGUGGUCAGCAUGCUACCCUUGACAAGUAGAGGAACGGGUUCAAUUCCCGUCUGGUCCA
rnacentral:tRNA from 1 species